GAUGAACGCUGGCGGCGUGCCUAAUACAUGCAAGUCGAGCGAACAGACGAGGAGCUUGCUCCUUUGACGUUAGCGGCGGACGGGUGAGUAACACGUAGGUAACCUACCUAUAAGACUGGGAUAACUUCGGGAAACCGGAUCUAAUACCGGAUAAUAUUUCGAACCGCAUGGUUCGAUAGUGAAAGAUGGCCUUGCUAUCACUUAUAGAUGGACCUGCGCCGUAUUAGCUAGUUGGUAAGGUAACGGCUUACCAAGGCAACGAUACGUAGCCGACCUGAGAGGGUGAUCGGCCACACUGGAACUGAGACACGGUCCAGACUCCUACGGGAGGCAGCAGUAGGGAAUCUUCCGCAAUGGGCGAAAGCCUGACGGAGCCACGCCGCGUGAGUGAUGAAGGUCUUCGGAUCGUAAAACUCUGUUAUUAGGGAAGAACAAACGUGUAAGUAACUGUGCACGUCUUGACGGUACCUAAUCAGAAAGCCACGGCUAACUACGUG
rnacentral:rRNA from 1 species